rnacentral:lncRNA from 1 species
CCAACUCAUGAUUUAUCCAGGUCACACCAGUCUGGUCUGUCACAGUAAGAGGUGGGUGAGCCUUGAAAGAAAACAAGGCUCCGUGGGGGUUUCUGUAGAUGUUGCUGUGAAUUCAUAAGUCCCAAAAUUUGCAUUAUUCUCCUUUUUUCUUCCCCAACAUGUAGUCCAUCACCAAAUCCUUCUGCCUUUCCAAACAUUUGCUGACUCUGGCCCCUUUUCUUCAGGGCCACCAGGAAACACACCUUCAGGAAGCACCUUUUCUGUUCUAUCCCAAAGGGCACCAUCACAUACACUAUAAUAUGAAUCAUGACCCCCGGAGUUGUGUGGAGUUUCUGCAUCUCUCCCUCCCCACUGUGGCUACCCUCAUCCAGCAACCAUCCUGUCUCUCACCGGUAUUACCGCAGCUGAGACCCAGGUCUUAAGGAAGCUGAGACCCAGGCCAGCAGGGGCCUCACAGGUAGAAUGAAGGUGAUGCUGGUGGGAUUUGGGGCUUACCUUGAAUAGGCAGUAGGGACAUUCUGAGUAGAAGGGAGGGGUCACUUUGUAAGUAGAGGUAGGAGAAAGAGAAGAAUCUUUUUAUAUGCUUCAGGCAACAGGUUUUUGCUUUAUUGAAAUAACCCUUCCUCCUGCAAAUUUUGGGGAUGGGGGAAAUGGCUGGAUGGGUCCUGGGAGUGCUGCUGAGGUGAUCUCAGGUCAGAAAUUUUUCUCCACAGCUUGGAAAAAGAGGAGGGUGUAAGACUCUGGAUGAAGCUGAGAGAUCCUUCCAUGCUUGGCUGAGAGACUACACAGACAUGAGCUUCAGGAGACUCCAAAGCCUCGGAUCCCCUUCUAAACUAGCACUGAAUUCUGAUUGGCUGUCUUUGCCUGCCUCAGUUUGUUCCUUUUACUGAUUGGCUAGGUUCUUCUGCCCAUGGCAGAGCCCUGCUCCAGCCACCGGAUCCUCCCACCUGCCACAGUGUCACCUGGGAUUGGCUGGGCUCUGAAAGGCCAGGCUGGCUUGACUCUUGCCAUCAUCAGAUUCUUCCUCAUUAAACAAAUGAAUCACAAUCCUAAUUAAUUUGAGCAACAGAAUUUAUGUAACUACUCCCAGCAGGAUGUCUGCUCUCAGUCAGCAGAGAGAUUACUUCCUCUCUCUGGGAAAUUCCAGCCUUGCUGGUCAAUAAGCCUUAAUGAUGACUGAAAUCUCCCAUCUGUCUCUGCUCAGGGCAGGUAACCCCUACUAAGCAGACACCCAGUUGGCUCGAGGCAGUACCCCGGGCACCGGCAGGACAAGGACAACGAUCUCCCAGCCUAGAUGUGUCCUGAGCCACAUGGAGCACACAGAUUACAGGAUCUGACUCCCAUUUGGGCCUUCCACCUCCGCUGGCCUAAGCAGUCAAGUGUCAGAGAGCACUGGACCUAACAGCUCCCUCACCAGAGCAGCUGUGAUUCCUUCUUCAUUUCCAGCAGGGAAGACCCAACAACUUUUAUAAUAUGGGAUUUCUUUUAUUCUCAUGAUAAUAAUGUUCAUUGUGGAAAAUAAAAAAAAAUGAUAAAAUAAAAAUCAGCCAGAAUUCCAACUUCUGGAGAUUUUGGUGUCUUUCUGCAAAGUUCCUAUGCACAUAGAUACUUUAUAAAAUUAUGAACAUACUGUACAUACAGUUUUGGAAUAUGCCUUUUUCCUUCUGUCAUGAAAAAGUCUUCAAAUGCCUUUUAACAGCUACACAAUAGUUCACUACAUGAACCAACUCAAAUGUAACUAUUUUUGGCCUUUUGUUAUAAAUAACACAAGAACCCUCAGUCUUUGUUACAUAAUGUCCUAACAGAGUAGGGGAAAUGCUCCCCAAUCCGGUGCAAUGUCCUGUGCCCAGGGAAACCAAUUUUUUAAAAUUUUUAUUUUAAGACGGA